rnacentral:rRNA from 1 species
GACGAACGCUGGCGGCAUGCCUAACACAUGCAAGUCGAACGAGAACUUCGGGUCUAUUGGCGCACGGGUGCGUAACGCGUGGGAACCUGCACUUAGGUUCGGAAUACCUCCCCGAAAGGGGUGCUAAUACCGGAUAAUGUCUUCGGCCCAAAGAUUUAUCGCCUUUGGAUGGGCCCGCGUUGGAUUCGCUAGUUGGUAGGGUAAUAGCCUACCAAGGCGACGAUCCAUAGCUGGUCUGAGAGGAUGAUCAGCCACACUGGGACUGAGACACGGCCCAGACUCCUACGGGAGGCAGCAGUGGGGAAUAUUGCACAAUGGGGGAAAGCCUGAUCCAGCAAUGCCGGGUGAGUGAUGAAGGCCGUAGGGUUGUAAAGCUCUUUUACCCGGGAUGAUAAUGACAGUACCGGGAGAAUAAGCUCCGGCUAACUCCGUG